AUACGCCCUGAGGGGGAAAGGGGGGACCGCAAGGCCUCAUGCUAUAGGAGCGGCCGAUUUUUGAAUUACCUAGUUGGGUGGGGUAAAGGGCUACCAAGGCGACGAUCAGUAGCUGGUUUGAGAGGGCGAUCAGCCACACUGGGACUGAGACGCGGUCCAGACUCCUACGGGGAGGCAGCAGUGGGGAAUUUUGGACAAUGGGGGCAACCCUGAUCCAGCAAUGCCGGGUGUGUGAAGAAGGCCUUCGGGUUGUAAAGCACUUUUGUCCGGAAAGAAAUCGCACUGGUUAAUACCUGGUGUGGAUGACGGUACCGGAAGAAUAAGGACCGGCUAACUACGUGCCAGCAGCCGCGGUAAUACGUAGGGUCCAAGCGUUAAUCGGAAUUACUGGGCGUAAAGCGUGCGCAGGCGGUUGUGCAAGACCGAUGUGAAAUCCCCGGGCUUAACCUGGAAAUUGCAUUGGUGACUGCACGGCUAGAGUGUGUCAGAGGGGGGUAGAAUUCCACGUGUAGCAGUGAAAUGCGUAGAGAUGUGGAGGAAUACCGAUGGCGAAGGCAGCCCCCUGGGAUAACACUGACGCUCAUGCACGAAAGCGUGGGGAGCAAACAGGAUUAGAUACCCUGGUAGUCCACGCCCUAAACGAUGUCAACUAGUUGUUGGGGAUUCAUUUCCUUAGUAACGUAGCUAACGCGUGAAGUGACC
rnacentral:rRNA from 1 species